UACGAAGGGGGCUAGCGUUGCUCGGAAUCACCGGGCGUAAAGGGUGCGUAGGCGGGUCUUUAAGUCAGGGGUGAAAUCCUGGAGCUCAACUCCAGAACUGCCUUUGAUACUGAAGAUCUUGAGUUCGGGAGAGGUGAGUGGAACUGCGAGUGUAGAGGUGAAAUUCGUAGAUAUUCGCAGGAACACCAGUGGCGAAGGCGGCUUACUGGUCCGAUACUGACGCUGAGGUGCGAAAGCGUGGGGAGCAAACAGGG
rnacentral:rRNA from 1 species